GCCUUUUUAGUAUAAACAGUAUAUCUGGCUUCCAACCAGAAGGUCUAGUAAAUUACUAGAAAAGGCA
rnacentral:tRNA from 1 species